rnacentral:rRNA from 1 species
UACGUAGGGGGCAAGCGUUGUCCGGAGUUACUGGGCGUAAAGCGCACGCAGGCGGUCUCUUAAGUUUGGAGUGACAGUUGGUGGCUUAACUGCCAAAGUGCUUCGAAAACUGAGAGACUUGAGGGCUUCAGAGGGACACGGAAUUCCGGGUGGAGUGGUGAAAUGCGUAGAGAUCCGGAGGAACACCAGUGGCGAAGGCGGCCACCUGGACUGUACCUGACGCUGAAACGCGAAAGCUAGGGGAGCGAACGGG